rnacentral:rRNA from 1 species
GGGGAAUAUUGGACAAUGGGCGCAAGCCUGAUCCAGCCAUGCCGCGUGUGUGAUGAAGGCCUUAGGGUUGUAAAGCACUUUCACCGAUGAAGAUAAUGACGGUAGUCGGAGAAGAAGCCCCGGCUAACUUCGUGCCAGCAGCCGCGGUAAUACGAAGGGGGCUAGCGUUGUUCGGAAUCACUGGGCGUAAAGCGCACGUAGGCGGAUUGUUAAGUGAGGGGUGAAAUCCCAGGGCUCAACCCUGGAACUGCCUUUCAUACUGGCAAUCUCGAGUUCGAGAGAGGUAAGUGGAAUUCCGAGUGUAGAGGUGAAAUUCGUAGAUAUUCGGAGGAACACCAGUGGCGAAGGCGGUUUACUGGAUCGAUACUGACGCUGAGGUGCGAAAGCGUGGGGAGCAAAC